UACGUAGGGGGCAAGCGUUGUCCGGAUUUAUUGGGCGUAAAGAGCGUGUAGGCGGCCAAGCAGGUCCGCUGUGAAAACUCGAGGCUCAACCUCGAGACGUCGGUGGAAACCGUUUGGCUAGAGUCCGGAAGAGGAGAGUGGAAUUCCCGGCGUAGCGGUGAAAUGCGCAGAUAUCGGGAAGAACACCCGUGGCGAAGGCGGCUCUCUGGGACGGUACUGACGCUGAGACGCGAAAGCGUGGGGAGCGAACAGG
rnacentral:rRNA from 1 species